UACGUAGGGGGCUAGCGUUGUCCGGAAUCAUUGGGCGUAAAGAGCGUGUAGGCGGCUUGGUAAGUCCGCUCUGAAAGCCCGGGGCUCAACCCCGGGAGGCGGGUGGAUACUGUCAAGCUCGAGUCCGGAAGAGGCGAGUGGAAUUCCUGGUGUAGCGGUGAAAUGCGCAGAUAUCAGGAGGAACACCAAUGGCGAAGGCAGCUCGCUGGGACGUGACUGACGCUGAGACGCGAAAGCGUGGGGAGCAAACAGG
rnacentral:rRNA from 1 species